CGCAUACGUCUGCAUAUCCCAGUGAGCUCUAUAUAUAUCUGGAACAAGAACUUUAGUCAUUCGGCUCAUGAGAAAAAUGAAGCCAAGUGAAAAAUGAAACCAUUUUCCCCAGCUAAAUGCAGUUUUUAGUUUUUUCUACGGACCGUAUCGCUUAUAAAGUUUUCAGCUGAUAAAAUCAUAAUAGUAGUCUUUAAAUCCAAGUCAAACUACGAAAUUUCGGCACACUCCUUGAAGAGCUAUUGGACGUCAGUUCCAAUCCCUUUCUAUUGUUUUUGUCUGUGCGGUUAACAUGAAGCUGGCUUCCCUUUUUUGCCUUGAGUUCUCGCUCCAGUAUGUAUGGAGCUCACUAGCAUAUCCCGACCAGGGAUGGAUUUACUGGGGGUGCGGGGGAAUGCGCACCCCCUCCCUAACCCUGGCCAGAGGGGGUGCAGGAGGGGCGCUAUUUUUCAUGAUAAAGCAAAAAAAAUUUAGAGAUAAAAUAGAUAUUGUACAGAGUACACUUGUACCGUAUGGAGGUUGUUUUGCCAAAUUGUCAGAAUACUGCUGUUGCUGUAUGUUGAUGGACGGGCUGCACACAUGUCCGACACAACUCGAGUCACUCGACACCAGAUCUGGCAGAGCACCCCCCCCCCCCUACCAGAUCAUGCUGGAUCCAUCCCUGAUCCCGAUAAUGGUGAUGUGUACGCGCUUUUAAUGAAUGAUAAAAUGUAAUGAAUGCGGGGAUUUUUUUAAAUAAGUAUAAUUGUGUGAUGAACAUCUGAAUGUAUGUGAUUGUUUUAAGAGGGUCCUGAAGGGGGGUCCCAAUCCCAUUUCCCACCUGAAAUUUUGGCAAAAUCCCAGUCCUAGUUGGAUUUUUAUUAGAAAUCCCACUCCGAGUUAUUGAAAUCCCAGUGAAUAAAAACCCAUUUAUUUAUCGGUAGAAUAAACAGUUUUAAGACCUUUUAAGCCACCGUGUGUGCAAGUGGCGAACACUAUAAAACUUGAAUCCCGGAAAUGGCUUUUGCAGCAUUCUAAG